UGGAAAGAGGGCCUUUGCAGAUGUUAGUUAAGAUGGGAUCAUACUGGACUGGGGGGACCCUAAGUCCAAUGACUGGUAUCUUUAUAAAAAGAUCAUGAAAGACACAGAGACAGAGAAAAGACAGCUGCACGAAGAGAUGGAAAUUGGAGUGACGCAGCUGAGGAAUACUAAGGAUUGCCUGCAACACCAGAAGCUAGGGACAGGCAAGAAAGGAUUCUUCCCUAGAGCCUUUAGACACUUUGAUUUCAGACUUCUGGCCUCCAGAACUGUGAGAGAAUGCAUUUCUGUUGUUUUAAGCCACCCAGUUUGUUGUACUUUGUUACAGCAGCCCAGGAAACUAAUAUAAUGUCUAAAAAUCUGAAAUACUGGCUUCUAUGGCACAACUGGACCCUUCAGAGAGGUAUAUUGGGAGAAGGCUCUUGGUGCCCCACAAGAGACCCACACCACCUGUCCUACCUAUCCCAACCAGACGGCUUGGCAGGUGAGGGGAAGGAGCAAGGCUGAGAGGUGAACAGACCCUCAGCCAUCACCAUCGACAACUUGUAAAAAUGUGGGGACCAACAAACACCCACUAACCUCUUUUUGCACUGGGCUUGUUCAGCUGCCUGCUGAGUGGGCUGAGAACAAAGUCAGCUGCAGUCAUGAAUACAUGAGCCAAUGCAGUGGUUAUUAACAUUUUGGUGUCAUUGAUCCUCAAAGAACAUGGUGUGACCUAGGGACUUUCUCCCCAGGAGACACAUGCAGAUACUCACUGAAAUUUGCAUACAGUUUCAGGGGUUUCACAACCCCCUGAAGCCUCUCCAUAGAGGUAAGAACCUUUGAUCUUCUAAUCGAACAAUGAUCUGUCCAAAUUUAAACUUACAGAAGAGGUACAGUUCCAACAUUGGUGAGUAGUUUUGUUUCUGUGUAUGAGCAUUGAGUACAGAGUAGAAGCUCACCAAGUCAAAUCCCAGCACUUUCCUUUCAAUGAGAAAUGUACUUAAACUUCUCAGCCUCGGUUGUCUUGUCUGAAAAAUGAGAAAUAGUGAUACUACUUCCCAGAGCUACUGUCAGGAUUAAAUCAAAUAAUGUCAGCUAUAGACUCCUGAAGCACCCUGGACUUCCCCUUCUAAACCCUGCAUCCCCUUCUAAUCAUUCAACUUAAGCAGUUGUUCAGUAGCCAUAACCCAGUAAAUUGUAAGCUUCAGGAAAGCUUUAUUCACAACUGUAUUCCCUGGGGCUCAGACUGUCUCGUUCAGCAUGGUGCCCGGCGCAUGGCUUCUGCUCAGUAAAUGGUAGCUCUUAUGAAUAUCCAGCUCAAACUGGUAAUGACAAGGAAGCAUUGCUAGACAACGAAAGGGUAUCUGCUAAAAUGUCUGCCUUCGGAAACCUAUUGUGGACUCCAUGGAAGAAGAACAAGUGCUGUCUUCUUUCUUUGUUGCUAUCCUCAAACAAAGAAGUGAAGGAUUGUUGCAAGACUCAAAGUCUGUCACUCCCACAGAGCACCAGGAAAUGAGCCUCUUCCCUCAGAUUCCCCCACCCCAGUUCUGAUCCACAUAGAGGCUUCUGAGACUCAACCCCAUCUGUGAGUCUAAAUGGACAAGACAGCAGCUGCUGAGUGGGAGGCAGCACCAUCUCCGGAGAGAGGCCCCAGCCCUUUCCCAAGAAGGCACAGAGUGGAUUUUCCUUAUAAUGAAGACUGUGUGCACCAACGAGGGAAACAGAAUGUGCAUGGAACGGAUGUGAAGUGAACUUGGUGAUCACCUUAACAGUCCAUGCAGUUGUUCUGAAGUAAAAGAACUGUUUCUUAAAAAAUAAAAACAGUAUAUGCAGCACCAACAAUAAUGG
rnacentral:lncRNA from 1 species